rnacentral:tRNA from 2 species
GGAGGGAUGGCGGAACGGUAACGCGUCCGCCUGCAGAGCGGAUAUAAGUGGGUUCAACUCCCACUCCCUCCUCCA